UGAGUAUAUAUUGAUUGUCCU
rnacentral:piRNA from 1 species